rnacentral:rRNA from 1 species
UACGUAGGGGCUAGCGUUAUCCGGAAUUACUGGGCGUAAAGGGUGCGUAGGUGGUUUCUUAAGUCAGAGGUGAAAGGCUACGGCUCAACCGUAGUAAGCCUUUGAAACUGGGAAACUUGGGUGCAGGAGAGGAGAGUGGAAUUCCUAGUGUAGCGGUGAAAUGCGUAGAUAUUAGGAGGAACACCAGUGGCGAAGGCGACUUUCUGGACUGUAACUGACACUGAGGUACGAAAGCGUGGGUAGCAAACAGGAUUAGAUACCCGGAUAGUCCCUGAGCGGGCUGGCAA